GCUUGGGCGAGAGUAGUACUAGGAUGGGUGACCUCCUGGGAAGUCCUCGUGUUGCAUUCC
rnacentral:rRNA from 1 species